UACGUAGGGACCAAGCGUUGUUCGGAUUUACUGGGCGUAAAGGGCGCGUAGGCGGCUUAACAAGUCACUUGUGAAAUCUCCGGGCUUAACUCGGAACGGCCAAGUGAAACUGUCAAGCUAGAGUGCAGAAGGGGCAAUCGGAAUUCUUGGUGUAGCGGUGAAAUGCGCAGAUAUCAGGAGGAACACCGGUGGCGAAGGCGGGUCUCUGGGCCGAUACUGACGCUGAGGAGCGAAAGCGUGGGGAGCGAACAGG
rnacentral:rRNA from 1 species